rnacentral:rRNA from 1 species
AUGAAUAGUGAGUGGGAAGACUUAUUCCCUUUGGUCACUACCAGAAAACUGGUUAGAGACAUCUCAGACCAUAAUCCUCUCCUUUUAUCCACUAAUAGUGCUUGCCCGCAAACACCUAAACCUAGAGAGUUUAGGUUUGAGAUGAGUUGGAUGGGCAAUGAGGAAUUUCUACCUCUGGUCAAAAAGAUUUGGUAAAGACCUAUUAGAUCCACUAAUCCAAUUGAUGUGCUAAAUAUCAAGUUAAAACGUUUCAAGAAUUUUUUCAAGGGAUGGGGGUCGGACAAGUUUGGCCAUGAGAAGAAAAGGAAGAAAGUAAUCAAAGAUGAGCUUUGA